CCUAGAGCUGUCGCUAGCCUGGGGACCCUUACUCGCUUCUCCCCUGGGGCUUCGGAGUACUCCUUUGCAAAAAGGGGCCAGUGGUGCCCGAGCCUUGAAGGGGUGGAUGGCUUCAUUCAUUCGGGCGCUUGGCGGGGUUGGGUGCUGCAGAUGGAGAGCACCUGCCCGGGAGGGGUUCCAGGUGUCACGAGCAACCCCGACCUGUCACGUCAAGGGGGUUGAAUACUGUUAGGGCUUGGGAAUUCUUUAGGGAGGAAAAUGGGCUCUUAAGAUAAAAUAGUUAAUUUGAACGUAUAAAUUUUAGACUUGGAGAUGAGGGAAUGGCAAUUCUAGUUAAAUACAAAGGACUGUGCAUUGUUAACUAAUGCAUUGCAAAUUGUGAUAAAAGUUUAUUUCAACUUACAAAUGACAGUCUCCACCUAUCACAUGUGGUCUUCACUGCUAAACCAGGUAAACAGAGCCUAUGAGGUAUCCUUAUUUUACUGGUCAAGAAAUGGAAACAAGUUAAAUGACUUAUAGGCUCUCACCACCAGUAACUGACAAAGCCAGGACAAGAAUCUAGUUUUAGGCCCAUGAGCCAGUCCUCUUUCCACCCUAGGAUAGGUGCAUAUUUUCACAUUACUUGGAUGACACACAAAUUAAUUCAUUUGUGACAAAAAGGGAGUUCCACUGGGGGUAGGGAUAACCUUUAAACAGCCUUACUGACUCUUAGAUUGUUCUUUAAUUUAUUGGUAUUCCCCUUGGGUGGUUUUACCUCUUCUCAAACUUGACCUCCAUAGUGAUGAAUGCCAAAUCUGUAUCUUUUGCCCAGUUUCCCCUAGUUUCAUGCUGCUAUCUCUAGACAUCCACUGGAUAUUUUCU
rnacentral:lncRNA from 1 species